UCCUACGGGAGGCAGCAGCUAAGAAUCUUCCGCAAUGGGCGAAAGCCUGACGGAGCGACGCCGCGUGAACGAAGAAGGCCGUGAGGUUGUAAAGUUCUUUUCGGGAGGGGGAACAACCGUGGCAGGGAAUGGCCGCGGGAUGACGUGAAUCCCGGAAUAAGCCCCGGCUAACUACGUGCCAGCAGCCGCGGUAAUA
rnacentral:rRNA from 1 species